AGUGAACGCUGGCGGUAGGCCUAACACAUGCAAGUCGAACGGCAGCACAGUAAGAGCUUGCUCUUACGGGUGGCGAGUGGCGGACGGGUGAGGAAUACAUCGGAAUCUACUUUUUCGUGGGGGAUAACGUAGGGAAACUUACGCUAAUACCGCAUACGACCUACGGGUGAAAGCAGGGGAUCUUCGGACCUUGCGCGAUUGAAUGAGCCGAUGUCGGAUUAGCUAGUUGGCGGGGUAAAGGCCCACCAAGGCGACGAUCCGUAGCUGGUCUGGGAGGAUGAUCAGCCACACUGGAACUGAGACACGGUCCAGACUCCUACGGGAGGCAGCAGUGGGGAAUAUUGGACAAUGGGCGCAAGCCUGAUCCAGCCAUGCCGCGUGGGUGAAGAAGGCCUUCGGGUUGUAAAGCCCUUUUGUUGGGAAAGAAAAGCAGCAGGUUAAUACCCCGCUGUUCUGACGGUACCCAAAGAAUAAGCACCGGCUAACUUCGUG
rnacentral:rRNA from 1 species